GGAAUGAAGCCCUCUAUAGAGCAGCCACCGUGGGAGCAGGAGCUCACAAGAGGAGCUGAGAAGACAAAGUGUCUGGAGACGUCAUGAUUUCAGAGGCCAAAACUGUCCAAAAACCUCACAAAAACACUGGACAACUGUACAGAGCACAUUAUUGGCAAGAAUAUUGAACUGCACAUUAUUGGCAAGAUAAACCACAUGCUACCUUUUCCUAUUGCACCUUCUUUCUGGCUUUGCAGAUUAGCAAGGAACUCAUUCUCCUGGGUACUCUCACUUUGGAAUAUUGAAGACAAUCCUUGAGGAAUAUUUAUGGAAGCAUACUGGUCACAGGAAUCAUGAGCACAACGGAAGGAACAAUGCAUCCUUUCCCAUUCUAGCAAGGAUGUCUCAGGGACUCUAUUGACUCUGAUGCAUUGAGACUAUUUCUCACUCUGGCAAGGUUCCGUUAAACAUGCAACACUUUUUUGCCAUAAUAUAGCCAAACAAAAUUCUUAUUGCUGUGUUAGACUCCAUAUUGUAUAAGGAAAAUGGAACCAAGAAGAAGUGGUGGGAAACAAUCUGAGUAAAAAGUGCCUCAGGUGUACGUGCUUUCAGUCAUAACUAUAACUAUAGCUUAUUCAGAACUUGCAGUCUACAUAUUUGUCACUACCUUUUUUAGAAAAUAUGUAUAAUAGAAGUACAGUCUGUUGUAGACCAACAUAGGUCUAAGACUGUAAAGGCUUUGUAUGUUCCUGAGCAAAAUAUGGAUAGGAAGGAAAAGAUGAUAAAUAAUUGCAUUCUAGAUUCAUACAAAACAAUGUUAAAGGCCCAAAUUCUGUCUAAACUUGUAGAUAUUAAAUACUGCCAUUAAAGUAAAUUGUAUGAACCAAUGAUAAAGAACUUCA